rnacentral:rRNA from 5 species
UAUACCGUGAAACUGCGAAUGGCUCAUUAAAUCAGUUAUCGUUUAUUUGAUAAUACCUUACUACUUGGAUAACCGUGGUAAUUCUAGAGCUAAUACAUGCUGAAAAUCCCGACUUCGGAAGGGAUGUGUUUAUUAGAUAAAAAACCAAUGCCCUUCGGGGCUCUUUGGUGAUUCAUGAUAACUUUACGGAUCGCAUAGCCUUGCGCUGGCGACGGUUCAUUCAAAUUUCUGCCCUAUCAACUUUCGAUGGUAAGGUAUUGGCUUACCAUGGUUUCAACGGGUAACGGGGAAUUAGGGUUCGAUUCCGGAGAGGGAGCCUGAGAAACGGCUACCACAUCCAAGGAAGGCAGCAGGCGCGCAAAUUACCCAAUCCCGACACGGGGAGGUAGUGACAAUAAAUACUGAUACAGGGCUCUUUUGGGUCUUGUAAUUGGAAUGAGUACAAUUUAAACCUCUUAACGAGGAACAAUUGGAGGGCAAGUCUGGUGCCAGCAGCCGCGGUAAUUCCAGCUCCAAUAGCGUAUAUUAAAGUUGUUGCAGUUAAAAAGCUCGUAGUUGAAACUUGGGUCUGGCUGGCGGGUCCGCCUCACCGCGUGCACUCGUCCGGCCGGACCUUCCUUUUAGCGAACCUCAUGCCCUUCACUGGGCGUGCUGGGGAACUAAGACUUUUACUUUGAAAAAAUUAGAGUGUUCAAAGCAGGCCUUUGCUCGAAUACGUUAGCAUGGAAUAAUAAAAUAGGGCGUGCGUUUCUAUUUUGUUGGUUUCUAGAGACGCCGCAAUGAUUAACAGGAACAGUCGGGGGCAUCAGUAUUCAGUUGUCAGAGGUGAAAUUCUUGGAUUUACUGAAGACUAACUACUGCGAAAGCAUUUGCCAAGGAUGUUUUCAUUAAUCAGUGAACGAAAGUUAGGGGAUCGAAGACGAUCAGAUACCGUCGUAGUCUUAACCGUAAACUAUGCCGACUAGGGAUCGGGCGAUGUUCUUUUUCUGACUCGCUCGGCACCUUACGAGAAAUCAAAGU